GGUUAAGCGACUAAGCGUACACGGUGGAUGCCCUGGCAGUCAGAGGCGAUGAAGGGCGUGCUAAUCUGCGAUAAGCGCCGGUAAGGUGAUAUGAACCGUUAUAACCGGCGAUACCCGAAUGGGGAAACCCAGUGUGAUUCGUCACACUAUCAUUAACUGAAUCCAUAGGUUAAUGAGGCGAACCGGGGGAACUGAAACAUCUAAGUACCCCGAGGAAAAGAAAUCAACCGAGAUUCCCCCAGUAGCGGCGAGCGAACGGGGAGGAGCCCAGAGCCUGAAUCAGCAUGUGUGUUAGUGGAAGCGUCUGGAAAGGCGCGCGAUACAGGGUGACAGCCCCGUACACAAAAGCGUAUGUGCUGUGAGCUCGAUGAGUAGGGCGGGACACGUGGUAUCCUGUCUGAAUAUGGGGGGACCAUCCUCCAAGGCUAAAUACUCCUGACUGACCGAUAGUGAACCAGUACCGUGAGGGAAAGGCGAAAAGAACCCCGGCGAGGGGAGUGAAAAAGAACCUGAAACCGUGUACGUACAAGCAGUGGGAGCACCCUUUGGGGUGUGACUGCGUACCUUUUGUAUAAUGGGUCAGCGACUUAUAUUCUGUAGCAAGGUUAACCGAAUAGGGGAGCCGGAGGGAAACCGAGUCUUAAUCGGGCGUUAAGUUGCAGGGUAUAGACCCGAAACCCGGUGAUCUAGCCAUGGGCAGGUUGAAGGUUGGGUAACACUAACUGGAGGACCGAACCGACUAAUGUUGAAAAAUUAGCGGAUGACCUGUGGCUGGGGGUGAAAGGCCAAUCAAACCGGGAGAUAGCUGGUUCUCCCCGAAAGCUAUUUAGGUAGCGCCUCGUGAAUUCAUCUCCGGGGGUAGAGCACUGUUUCGGCUAGGGGGUCAUCCCGACUUACCAACCCGAUGCAAACUGCGAAUACCGGAGAAUGUUAUCACGGGAGACACACGGCGGGUGCUAACGUCCGUCGUGAAGAGGGAAACAACCCAGACCGCCAGCUAAGGUCCCAAAGUCAUGGUUAAGUGGGAAACGAUGUGGGAAGGCACAGACAGCCAGGAUGUUGGCUUAGAAGCAGCCAUCAUUUAAAGAAAGCGUAAUAGCUCACUGGUCGAGUCGGCCUGCGCGGAAGAUGUAACGGGGCUAAACCAUGCACCGAAGCUGCGGCAGCGACACUAUGUGUUGUUGGGUAGGGGAGCGUUCUGUAAGCCUGUGAAGGUGUGUCGUGAGGCAUGCUGGAGGUAUCAGAAGUGCGAAUGCUGACAUAAGUAACGAUAAAGCGGGUGAAAAGCCCGCUCGCCGGAAGACCAAGGGUUCCUGUCCAACGUUAAUCGGGGCAGGGUGAGUCGACCCCUAAGGCGAGGCCGAAAGGCGUAGUCGAUGGGAAACGGGUUAAUAUUCCCGUACUUGGUGUUACUGCGAAGGGGGGACGGAGAAGGCUAUGUUGGCCGGGCGACGGUUGUCCCGGUUUAAGCGUGUAGGUGUGUGUUCCAGGUAAAUCCGGUUCACUUUAACACUGAGGCGUGAUGACGAGGCACUACGGUGCUGAAGCAACAAAUGCCCUGCUUCCAGGAAAAGCCUCUAAGCAUCAGGUAACAUCAAAUCGUACCCCAAACCGACACAGGUGGUCAGGUAGAGAAUACCAAGGCGCUUGAGAGAACUCGGGUGAAGGAACUAGGCAAAAUGGUGCCGUAACUUCGGGAGAAGGCACGCUGACACGUAGGUGAAGUGAUUUACUCAUGGAGCUGAAGUCAGUCGAAGAUACCAG
rnacentral:rRNA from 1 species